GAUCUCCUAGGGAGGCAGCAGUAGGGAAUCUUCCACAAUGGGCGAAAGCCUGAUGGAGCAACGCCGCGUGGGUGAAGAAGGUCUUCGGAUCGUAAAACCCUGUUGUUAGAGAAGAAAGUGCGUGAGAGUAACUGUUCACGUUUCGACGGUAUCUAACCAGAAAGCCACGGCUAACUACGUGCCAGCAGCCGCGGUAAUACGUAGGUGGCAAGCGUUAUCCGGAUUUAUUGGGCGUAAAGAGAACGCAGGCGGUCUUUUAAGUCUGAUGUGAAAGCCUUCGGCUUAACCGGAGUAGUGCAUUGGAA
rnacentral:rRNA from 1 species